rnacentral:rRNA from 1 species
AGUGAACGCUGGCGGUAGGCCUAACACAUGCAAGUCGAACGGCAGCACAGUAAGAGCUUGCUCUUACGGGUGGCGAGUGGCGGACGGGUGAGGAAUACAUCGGAAUCUACUUUUUCGUGGGGGUUAAGGAAGGGAAACUUACGCUAAUACCGCAUACGCCCUACGGGUGAAAGAGGGGGAUCUUCGGACCUUGCGCGAUUGAAUGAGCGGAUGUCGGAUUGGCUAGUUGGCGGGGUAAAGGCCCACCAAGGGGACGAUCCGUAGCUGGUCGGAGAGGAUGAUCAGCCACACUGGAACUGAGACACGGUCCAGACUCCUACGGGAGGCAGCAGUGGGGAAUAUUGGACAAUGGGCGCAAGCCUGAUCCAGCCAUACCGCGUGGGUGAAGAAGGCCUUCGGGUUGUAAAGCCCUUUUGUUGGGAAAGAAAAGCAGCAGGUUAAUACCCCGCUGUUCUGACGGUACCCAAAGAAUAAGCACCGGCUAACUUCGUG